UACGUAGGGUGCGAGCGUUGUCCGGAAUUAUUGGGCGUAAAGGGCUCGUAGGCGGUUUGUCGCGUCGGGAGUGAAAACUCAGGGCUUAACCCUGAGCCUGCUCGAUACGGGCAGACUAGAGGUAUGCAGGGGAGAACGGAAUUCCUGGUGUAGCGGUGAAAUGCGCAGAUAUCAGGAGGAACACCAAUAGCGAAGGCAGCUCGCUGGGACGUUACUGACACUGAGGCGCGAAAGCGUGGGGAGCGAACAGG
rnacentral:rRNA from 1 species